UACGUAGGGGGCAAGCGUUAUCCGGAUUUACUGGGUGUGAAGGGAGCGUAGACGGCUUUGCAAGCCAGAUGUGAAAGCCCGGGGCUCAACCCCGGGACUGCAUUUGGAACUGUGUGGCUAGAGUGUCGGAGAGGCAGGCGGAACCCCUAGUGUAGCGGUGAAAUGCGUAGAUAUUAGGAGGAACACCAGUGGCGAAGGCGGCCUGCUGGACGAUGACUGACGUUGAGGCUCGAAAGCGUGGGGAGCAAACAGG
rnacentral:rRNA from 1 species